rnacentral:lncRNA from 1 species
GCUGGUGCAGGGUCUGCUACACUUUCCAUGGCUUACGCUGCUGCAAGAUUUGUUGAGUCCUCUCUCCGUGCACUUGAUGGAGAUAGUGAUGUCUAUGAGUGUGCUUUUGUGCAGUCUGAUGUAUCAGAGCUUCCAUUCUUUGCUUCAAGGAUUAAAAUAGGAAAGAAUGGGGUUGAGGCUUUGAUUUCAUCUGACCUUCAAGGAUUGUCCGAGUAUGAACAGAAAGCUCUGGAUGCUUUAAAGCCAGAAUUGAAGUCU